UAGGAUGGCCAUAGUACCAAUGAUAGGACC
rnacentral:piRNA from 1 species